rnacentral:lncRNA from 1 species
UAACAAUGCUAAGCAAGCUUUAAUCAAAUUUAAAGAAAUCUCAAAGAAAUUACAAAGAAACAAUAAAAAAUCUUAAAGAAAUAUUAGAAUGAUAACAAAUAUAUCUCAAAUACAUCUCAAUUCAAUCUUAAUUUAAUCUUAGUUAAAAUUCUAUUAGACUUCAUUCAAAAUUUAAGCCAAAAAUUAACUAAAUCUUUAAUUUUAAACAAAUACUAAUAAAAUCUUAAAUGCCUAAAUCAAAUCCUAAUCAAAUCCUAAAUCAAAUCCUAAUCAAACUUUAAAUCCUAAACCAAAUCUUAAUCAAAUCCUAAUCAAAUCCUAAAUCUUAAACCAAAUCCUAAUCCUAAAUCAAAUCCUAACCAAAUCCUAAUUCUGAAUCAAAUCCUAAUCAAAUCUUAAAUCCUAAUCAAAUCUUAAACCCUAAAUCAAACCCUAAACCUUAAAUCAAAUUCUAAAUCUUUAACCAAAUCUUAACCAAAUCCUAAUCCUAAAUCAAAUCCUAACCAAACCCUAAAUCCUAAAUCAAAUCCUAACCAAACCUUAA